rnacentral:rRNA from 1 species
AGAGUUUGAUCAUGGCUCAGGACGAACGCUGGCGGCGUGCUUAACACAUGCAAGUCGAACGGUGAAGCAGGAGCUUGCUCUUGUGGAUCAGUGGCGAACGGGUGAGUAACACGUGAGUAACCUGCCCUUGACUCUGGGAUAAGCGUUGGAAACGACGUCUAAUACCGGAUAUUUCAACCGACGGCAUCGUCUGGUUGUGGAAAGAUUUUUUGGUCAAGGAUGGACUCGCGGCCUAUCAGCUUGUUGGUGAGGUAAUGGCUCACCAAGGCGACGACGGGUAGCCGGCCUGAGAGGGUGACCGGCCACACUGGGACUGAGACACGGCCCAGACUCCUACGGGAGGCAGCAGUGGGGAAUAUUGCACAAUGGGCGCAAGCCUGAUGCAGCAACGCCGCGUGAGGGAUGACGGCCUUCGGGUUGUAAACCUCUUUUAGUAGGGAAGAAGCGAAAGUGACGGUACCUGCAGAAAAAGCACCGGCUAACUACGUGCCAGCAGCCGCGGUAAUACGUAGGGUGCAAGCGUUGUCCGGAAUUAUUGGGCGUAAAGAGCUCGUAGGCGGUUUGUCGCGUCUGCUGUGAAAACUGGAGGCUCAACCUCCAGCCUGCAGUGGGUACGGGCAGACUAGAGUGCGGUAGGGGAGAUUGGAAUUCCUGGUGUAGCGGUGGAAUGCGCAGAUAUCAGGAGGAACACCGAUGGCGAAGGCAGAUCUCUGGGCCGUAACUGACGCUGAGGAGCGAAAGCGUGGGGAGCGAACAGGAUUAGAUACCCUGGUAGUCCACGCCGUAAACGUUGGGAACUAGAUGUGGGGGCCAUUCCACGGCUUCCGUGUCGCAGCUAACGCAUUAAGUUCCCCGCCUGGGGAGUACGGCCGCAAGGCUAAAACUCAAAGGAAUUGACGG